CCUUCUCAUUUUAUUCUAGUGAAGAUAUUAAAUUGAAAUAGCAAUUUGACAUGGAAUUUAUUGAGAAUCCAGCAAAAAACAUUAACUAAAUCUAGUAAUAGAAUUUUAGUGCAAUUUCAACAUAUUGUAACAAAUAAGGUGCCAGCAGUUGCGGUCAUACCUUAAACAAAUUUAAUAUCGUUAGAGUGGGACACAAAUGUAGGACUUUAAAAAAUUAAAAAGAUAGUAAAAUGUGUUUUAAUUAGUAUUAGCUAACAAAGUCUGAAUUUGUUAAUCUAAAAUACCCGAAACUUUAUAAAUUUUAGUAAACUAGGAUUAGAUACCCUACUAUAAAAAGCAAAAAUUAAAACUCUAAGCACUAAAACCGAAUUAUGGUUAAAACUUAAAGAUUAUGGCGGCAGUCUAAAUUAUUCAGGGGAACUUACCAGAUAAUAGAUAACCCCCAAGCAAUUCUACUUAACUUAAUAGUUUAUAUAUUGCCGUUUAGGACUUACUUAAAGUAUGCCCAAUCAUUUAUUAAACAAAUUUAAUACAGGUCAUGGUGUAGCAAAUAGUUAAGCCGUUAAGGUGAGUUACAAUAUUAUUUUUUUUCAGGUGUGAUCUUAAACAGAUCACAAAUAGUUGGACUUGAAAGUAAAGAUACAUAUCAUGUAAUGAUUAAAUCUUGAAUAUUAUAUUAGAUUGUGCACAAAUCGCCCGUCACUCUCGUAAUUUACUACAAAACAAACGAGAUAAGUCGUAACACAGUAGGUGUAAAUGAAUUUGUACC
rnacentral:rRNA from 1 species